rnacentral:snRNA from 1 species
GUGUUCACUUUGGCAGCAUAUAUACUAAAAUUGGAACAAUACAGAAAAGAUUGGCAUGGUCCCUGCGCAAAGAUGACAUGCAAAUUUGUGAAGCAUUCCAUAUUUUU